GACGAACGCUGGCGGCGUGCUUAACACAUGCAAGUCGAACGAUAAAGAAGAGCAACGCGGACUUCGGUUCAAAUUUCACUUCGGAUUAGUGGCAGACGGAUGAGUAACGCGUGAGCAACCUACCUCUUACAAAGGGAUAGCCUCGGGAAACCGUGAUUCAUACCAUAUGACAGAUUCAUAAGGCAUCUUAAGAUUGUUAAAGCUACGGCGGUAAGAGAUGGGGUCGCGUCCCAUUAGCUAGGUGGUGCGGUAACGGCCAACCAAGGCGACGAUGGGUAACCGGGCUGAGAGGGGGAACGGUUAGAUCGGAACUGAGACCCGGUCUCCACUCGUACGGGAAGGUGGAGUGUAGAAUACUGCACAAGGAAGGGAGAUGUGAUGACGCGGCGUCGCGUGAGAGAUGAAGGAAUUCGUAUCGCAAAGCUCUGUUUUACGAGAAGAAAAUGACGGUACCAUAGGAGAAAGCCCCGGCUAAAUACGUG
rnacentral:rRNA from 1 species